CAUUCUGGGAUUGAAACAGCAGUUGCGAAAAAAAAAAACAAUCAGGCAGAAGCAGGGCACUGUUUCCAAAGUACUCCUGAUAGAUUUCAAGCACCUCAGGCUCUCCUCAUUAUUUUUGCUCCCCUGCCUGUGUGGAGAGAGUAGUCACAGCAGUGCUGGUGCCGGUGUGCGUGCUGAUAGUAUCACAUGUUGCAGCCAUGCUCCGAGAGCUGUCUGUGCACCUGUUUGUCGCCAUGGGAACAACCACAGAGCAGACUUUGCACCUUUCACCGCUGGGUGCAAAGAACUGAAAUCUCCAUGCACUGUCCUCAGAAAGAAAAGCAGAGAAGGAGUUUUUGCUGAUCUCUCGGCUUCCUGCCAGAGGGGACUGGAAGGCCAACGCUGGAGACGUCCCCUUCCCCAGCUGCAUGAACUAUGUGACAAGAGGCAACCCAGGGAGCAUGAGGUAGAACAAUAGAGCCUGUCAGAGUUCUUUACAACAUCAGCAUGUGAGUUUGUAUAUGAGCAGCCAGGCACUUACAUAAAGCUCUUUCUGUCAGUGGAUGGGAGGGUAGCCUCACAUGGAGGAGCAUGUGAUUAAAGACCUAAAGUACCGAAGCUGGCAAGCAGUCACUCACAUGUUCCAGGUCAGAUGUGCUGAGUUAUGUUUCACUUUCAUCAAAUGUUGAUCAUUCGUUGGAGAGGCUGCCCCUCCCCCGUGCCUGGGAAAGGAAGAAAACAAAGAAAUCAGCGGGUUGUGGUUUUAGGGAAACAGAUACUAGCAGGCAAAAGCGAUUAGUAUACAAUGCUAACCACCAAAUUGCUGUAGAACGUGCACUUCGAUGAUUUCUCUGCAGGAUGUUAGAAUAUAGUCUCGGGGUUUUCAUAUCAUUUCACUCAAAACUGUUGUUCUGCAAAAACAUAAAAUGGCUUUGUCAAGCUAAAUACCAAGAACUACCAAUCCCCAAAUGCUGACUUAAAGAUUUUUAGUUGUUCCCACGUGAAACGGUUUAGUUUUUUAUAUUGUGUUUUGCACGUUUUGGGGCUGUUUUUUCCCGCAUUGACAAAUGCUGUAGAUUUUUGCACAUUCUGCUUGUGCAAAAUGCUAACAUUUGCAUUACUUUAAAACGUUUUAUUAAGUUGAAACUACAAAAAAAGAUGCAUGUAAUUGUAUAAAGAACUCUGUUUUACAUUUGGUAAGAAGGAAGAAUUAAGUUCAUGCAGUGGGAGAAAAAUACUCCUCUUUUUCCAGGGAACUGAUCUUCUGUGACUCAGCAGCUGAGGUCAUGGCAAGUCAGCCAAGCACCUACUGUAUGACUAAUCUCGC
rnacentral:lncRNA from 1 species